GGGGGUCGUUAAGCUCAGCCAUGCAUGUGUAAGUAUAAAUAAUUCUACUUUGAAACUGCGAAUGGCUCAUUAUAUCAGUUAUAGUUUAUUAGAAAAAAUGUACUACUUGGAUAACCGUAGUAAUUCUAGGGCUAAUACAUGAAUGAAUCCUCGACUUUGAAGAGGUGUGUUUAUUAAUAUGAAAACCAUAUGCUUCGGCAUGAUAGUGAGUAAUAAUAACCUUUCGUAUCGUAUGUUGACAUAACGAUAGUUCUUUCAAGUUUCUGCCCUAUCAGCUUUCGAUGGUAGUGUAUUGGACUACCAUGGCAGUAACGGGUAACGAAGAAUUUGGGUUCGAUUUCGGAGAGGGAGCCUGAGAGAUGGCUACCACAUCCAAGGAAGGCAGCAGGCGCGUAAAUUACCCAAUCCUGACAGAGGGAGGUAGUGACAAUAAAUCACAAUGCGGGACUAUUUAUUUUUGCAAUUGGAUUGAAAACAAUGUACAAAAGUUAUCGAUAAACAAUUGGAGGGCAAGUCUGGUGCCAGCAGCCGCGGUAAUUCCAGCUCCAAUAGCGUAUAUAAACGUUGUUGCAGUAAAAAAGAUAAAA
rnacentral:rRNA from 1 species